rnacentral:rRNA from 1 species
GAGUUUGAUCCUGGCUCAGAUUGAACGCUGGCGGCAUGCCUUACACAUGCAAGUCGAACGGUAACAGGUCUUCGGACGCUGACGAGUGGCGAACGGGUGAGUAAUACAUCGGAACGUGCCCAGUCGUGGGGGAUAACUACUCGAAAGAGUAGCUAAUACCGCAUGCGAUCUGAGGAUGAAAGCGGGGGACCUUCGGGCCUCGCGCGAUUGGAGCGGCCGAUGGCAGAUUAGGUAGUUGGUGGGAUAAAAGCUUACCAAGCCGACGAUCUGUAGCUGGUCUGAGAGGACGACCAGCCACACUGGGACUGAGACACGGCCCAGACUCCUACGGGAGGCAGCAGUGGGGAAUUUUGGACAAUGGGCGAAAGCCUGAUCCAGCAAUGCCGCGUGCAGGAUGAAGGCCUUCGGGUUGUAAACUGCUUUUGUACGGAACGAAAAAGCUUCUCCUAAUACGAGAGGCCCAUGACGGUACCGUAAGAAUAA